CGCUGGCGGCGUGCCUAAUACAUGCAAGUCGAACGGCUUUUCUAUGGAAGCUUGCUUCCACUGAGAAGAUAGUGGCGAACGGGUGAGUAACACGUGGGUAACCUGCCCAUAAGAGGGGGAUAACAUCCGGAAACGGGUGCUAAUACCGCAUAGUUUUCUUGAUCGCAUGAUUGAGAAAGGAAAGACGGCCUUUGUGCUGUCGCUUAUGGAUGGACCCGCGGCGUAUUAGUUAGUUGGUGAGGUAAUGGCUCACCAAGACGAUGAUACGUAGCCGACCUGAGAGGGUGAUCGGCCACAUUGGGACUGAGACACGGCCCAAACUCCUACGGGAGGCAGCAGUAGGGAAUCUUCCGCAAUGGACGAAAGUCUGACGGAGCAACGCCGCGUGAGUGAAGAAAGGUUUUCGGAUCGUAAAACUCUGUUGUCAGAGAAGAACAAGUUGGAGAGUAACUGCUCCAGCCUUGACGGUAUCUGACCAGAAAGCCACGGCUAACUACGUGCCAGCCGCAGC
rnacentral:rRNA from 1 species